AUGAACGCUGGCGGCGUGCCUAAUACAUGCAAGUCGAGCGAACGGACGAGAAGCUUGCUUCUCUGAUGUUAGCGGCGGACGGGUGAGUAACACGUGGAUAACCUACCUAUAAGACUGGGAUAACUUCGGGAAACCGGAGCUAAUACCGGAUAAUAUUUUGAACCGCAUGGUUCAAAAGUGAAAGACGGUCUUGCUGUCACUUAUAGAUGGAUCCGCGCUGCAUUAGCUAGUUGGUAAGGUAACGGCUUACCAAGGCAACGAUGCAUAGCCGACCUGAGAGGGUGAUCGGCCACACUGGAACUGAGAAACGGUACAGACUCCUACGGGAGGCAGCAGUAGGGAAUCUUCCGCAAUGGGCGAAAGCCUGACGGAGCAACGCCGCGUGAGUGAUGAAGGUCUUCGGAUCGUAAAACUCUGUUAUUAGGGAAGAACAUAUGUGUAAGUAACUGUGCACAUCUUGACGGUACCUAAUCAGAAAGCCACGGCUAACUACGUG
rnacentral:rRNA from 1 species